UACUAUUUGUAAUAAAAAUCACAUAUAUAAAUUCUAAAUUUAUUG
rnacentral:tRNA from 1 species